rnacentral:rRNA from 1 species
GAUGAACGCUGGCGGCGUGCCUAAUACAUGCAAAUCGAGCGAAUGGAUUAAGAGCUUGCUCUUAUGAAGUUAGCGGCGGACGGGUGAGUAACACGUGGGUAACCUGCCCAUAAGACUGGGAUAACUCCGGGAAACCGGGGCUAAUACCGGAUAACAUUUUGAACCGCAUGGUUCGAAAUUGAAAGGCGGCUUCGGCUGUCACUUAUGGAUGGACCCGCGUCGCAUUAGCUAGUUGGUGAGGUAACGGCUCACCAAGGCAACGAUGCGUAGCCGACCUGAGAGGGUGAUCGGCCACACUGGGACUGAGACACGGCCCAGACUCCUACGGGAGGCGGCAGUAGGGAAUCUUCCGCAAUGGACGAAAGUCUGACGGAGCAACGCCGCGUGAGUGAUGAGGGCUUUCGGGUCGUAAAACUCUGUUGUUAGGGAAGAACAAGUGCUAGUUGAAUAAGCUGGCACCUUGACGGUACCUAACCAGAAAGCCACGGCUAACUACGUGCCAGCAGCCGCCGUAA